GACGAACGCUGGCGGCGUGCUUAACACAUGCAAGUCGAACGAAGAGCGAUGGAAGCUUGCUUCUAUCACUCUUAGUGGCGAACGGGUGAGUAACGCGUAAUCAACCUGCCCUUCAGAGGGGGACAACAGUUGGAAACGACUGCUAAUACCGCAUACGAUCUAACCUCGGCAUCGAGGAUGGAUGAAAGGUGGCCUCUAUUUAUAAGCUAUCACUGAAGGAGGGGAUUGCGUCUGAUUAGCUAGUUGGAGGGGUAACGGCCCACCAAGGCGAUGAUCAGUAGCCGGUCUGAGAGGAUGAACGGCCACAUUGGGACUGAGACACGGCCCAGACUCCUACGGGAGGCAGCAGUGGGGAAUCUUCCGCAAUGGACGAAAGUCUGACGGAGCAACGCCGCGUGAGUGAUGACGGCCUUCGGGUUGUAAAGCUCUGUUAAUCGGGACGAAAGGCCUUCUUGCGAAUAGUUAGAAGGAUUGACGGUACCGGAAUAGAAAGCCACGGCUAACUACGUG
rnacentral:rRNA from 1 species